rnacentral:tRNA from 1 species
CCAUCGGUGGUUCAGUGGUAGAAUGCUCGCCUGCCACGCGGGAGGCCCGGGUUCGAUUCCCGGUCGAUGCA